CCCAGAAAAGCAGUGAUGAAGGAUCGGUCCCGCGCAACGCCCAUCCGUGAACCGUGUCAGGCGGGGAACCGAGCAGCACUAAGCGGAAUCGGACGUGUGCCGCGGGAGCGCCGCUCCUGAGCCGGCUGUCUGGGUAACGGAUAUAGUCCGGACUUCAAAGGCCGGUGCGCGG
rnacentral:SRP_RNA from 1 species